AUUGAACGCUGGCGGCAGGCCUAACACAUGCAAGUCGAGCGGAUGAAGGGAGCUUGCUCCUGGAUUCAGCGGCGGACGGGUGAGUAAUGCCUAGGAAUCUGCCUGGUAGUGGGGGAUAACGUCCGGAAACGGGCGCUAAUGCCGCAUACGUCCUGAGGGAGAAAGUGGGUGAUCUUCGGACCUCACUCUAUCAGAUGAGCCUAGGUCGGAUUAGCUAGUUGGUGGGGUAAAGGCCUACCAAGGCGACGAUCCGUAACUGGUCUGAGAGGAGGAUGAGUCACACUGGAACUGAGAAACGGUCCAAACUCCUAGGGGAGGCAGCAGUGGGGAAUAUUGGACAAUGGGCGAAAGCCUGAUCCAGCCAUGCCGCGGGGGUGAAGAAGGUCUUCGGAUUGUAAAGCCCUUUAAGUUGGGAGGAAGGGCAGUAAGGUAAUACCUUGCUGUUUUGACGUUACCAACAGAAUAAGCACCGGCUAACUUCGUG
rnacentral:rRNA from 1 species